AUUGAACGCUGGCGGCAUGCUUUACACAUGCAAGUCGAGCGGCAGCGCGGGGGCAACCCUGGCGGCGAGCGGCGAACGGGUGAGUAAUGCAUCGGAACGUAUCCUCGAGUGGGGGAUAACCCAGCGAAAGUUGGGCUAAUACCGCAUGAGCUCUGAGGAGGAAAGCGGGGGACCUGCGAGGGCCUCGCGCUGGAGGAGCGGCCGAUGUCCGAUUAGCUAGUUGGUGGGGUAAAGGCUUACCAAGGCGGCGAUCGGUAGCUGGUCUGAGAGGAUGAUCAGCCACACUGGGACUGAGACACGGCCCAGACUCCUACGGGAGGCAGCAGUGGGGAAUUUUGGACAAUGGGGGCAACCCUGAUCCAGCCAUGCCGCGUGAGUGAAGAAGGCCUUCGGGUUGUAAAGCUCUUUCGGACGGAACGAAAUGGGCGGGACUAAUACUCCUGUCUGAUGACGGUACCGGAAGAAGAAGCACCGGCUAACUACGUG
rnacentral:rRNA from 1 species